CCCCUAACACUACAAAACAACCUCAGAAACAUAUAUACAUAAACACAAUUAAAUAUAUACAAAAAGAAAAAAAAAUACAAGAUUUAAGGGGCGCACAUGAAUUUAUGCGACUUAUUGCUUCAGGAUUGACUCUCUUAGGAGGUCCCUAGUAGAGUCGACAACUAUCGUGCCUCGAUUUUCAGCCGAACACUAGUCACGCGACUGGUCCUGGAGUCGCCACCAUGUUUUUGCGGUCAAAACGUAGAAAACCCUUUCAAUGCCUAAAUGUUGGAAAAACUUGGCUAUUGAACUAGAUCUCUGGAUUCGGGAGUCGGUUAUGGAUCAAGGAAGGUAUUAGCACCCCCUCCGCCCGUUAUGAGACGGUGCCUGCAUAAAUCGUAUAAAACUAAGUAUAUCCAAAAACCUUAUUUUAUCAAAUAAUUUAUAGAGUAUGAAAACUUUAUAUCUAUCUAGGGUAAGCAAGAAGAUCCAACUAUAGACUACACUACCUUACUCAUAUUCGAGAGAGAGAAAACGCAAUUCAAGACCAUGUACCACUUUUCAACUCGAAUAAGGUAGGAAAAUAAGACUCAGGUCGAGUACCACUUACUAAAACCCUAGAAUUCUAAGAGUUUUAAAAUAUAGAAGUUAAAUUAGAUCUCUUAUAUUUAGGGUGAGCAAGAAAAUCUAACUCUAGACUAUAUUGUCUUACUAUUAUUCGAGAGAAAAAAGAUGCAAUUCAAGUCAGCGUACCACUUUUCAACUCAAAUAAGGCAUAAAGAUAAGACUCUGGUCGAGUGGCGCUUAUAUAAACCCGUAUAUAUAUAUAUAAAAGAAUGAAUAAAUAAAAUGAAUAAAUAAAAAAGGAAAACAAUAAUGAAAUAAAAUAAAGAAGACAAUAAACAAAUAAAAAAAGAAUGAAAUGUAGAGAUGAGUUACAGGAAGGGGAAGUUCCGAUCUUCCCCAAAUGAAAUCCCAAGGACCGCUAGAAGGAGAAAUGGAGACGAUAGCAACUGCAGCUCCGCUGCCCGAGCAAGGCUGGACAUAAAAAACAGAGGUGGAAGAGGUGACAACUCCGACAUAAGUUUUGUCUCUCCACCAUAAACCAUUUGUGACGGAGGCACCGUUGGAAGGGGAGCUGCACCUAAAGGUCUAGGUGGUGAAAUGGAGAGGAACAUCUGCACAAACCCCACUCUCUGUCCACAACCAUGUACUAGAGGUGCCCUAUGAUGAUUCCUGAGCUCUAUCCCUUUUGUUCGGCAACCAGGGACCACAACCUCACAUGCAACACCUCCUAACCUCUUGUCUUCCACCAUAUUUCAACUUAAAUGAAACUCAAAUGCAUCACCAUACCAACAAUAAACCAAAAACAGUACAACAAAUAACAAAAAAUGAAAAAUGCAUGAAGAUACCAUGUUAAAGAAAUGAACCUGUGCAAUUGUUCUUAAAUUAGAUAUGGGGAAGGAUGCCUAUUUUUCUUGUUUGUGUUGUUUAGAAUGUAUGGGUAUUGCUUGAUGAAGAUGUGGGAAUUGAGUGAAGAAGUAGAUGAUGUUAUUUUCCUUUAUUACUUUUCUUUUUUUGCUGAAUGUAUUCUCUCCCUCUCUCUUUUAGUAUGGAAGUUGCUCAAAUUAGGAUAAGGGUUUCUCUCAAUGUACUUAGGGCUGUUGAUUGUGUUUUUUUUUAAAUGAG
rnacentral:lncRNA from 1 species